CCUACGGGAGGCAGCAGUGGGGAAUAUUGGACAAUGGGGGGAACCCUGAUCCAGCGACGCCGCGUGAGUGAAGAAGUAUUUCGGUAUGUAAAGCUCUAUCAGCAGGGAAGAAAGAAAUGACGGUACCUGACUAAGAAGCCCCGGCUAACUACGUGCCAGCAGCCGCGGUAAUACGUAGGGGCAAGCGUUAUCCGGAUUUACUGGGGGUAAAGGGAGCGUAGACGGUUACGCAAGUCUGGAGUGAAAGGCGGGGGCCCAACCCCCGGACUGCUUUGGAAACUUUAUAACUGGAGUGCAGGAGAGGUAAGUGGAAUUCCUAGGGUAGCGGUGAAAUGCGUAGAUAUUAGGAGGAACACCAGUGGCGAAGGCGGCUUACUGGACUGUAACUGACGUUGAGGCUCGAAAGCGUGGGGAGCAAACAGGAUUAGAUACCCUAGUAGUC
rnacentral:rRNA from 1 species